UGGCUGAGCGGUAAAGCGCUUGGCUUCUUAACCGGGGGUCCCGGGUUCGAAUCCUGG
rfam:Biomphalaria glabrata isolate BB02 unplaced genomic scaffold LGTN_random_Scaffold4323, whole genome shotgun sequence.